rnacentral:lncRNA from 1 species
GGAGUAAGCUCCAGCCUCCCCUGAGGAAGUGCUGGUCAGGCGCUGGGUCCCUGGCUUCCUGUCUGUACUCUCCCUAGCCUGUGGGGAAAUCCCGAGAGCUUUGUCGGCUGCCCAACGAGCCUGUUGGCUUUUCACGUUCCUUCACUGUGGCUUUCAGAGCCAGAUGUGUAACUCUUUGCUGCUAGCUGCACGGGUUUCCCAUCGCCUUCCUUUUGCCACCGGAAGCAGAGACUAAAAGCAAGAAACAGGCUUUCAUAUAUGAAAUGUGAA